GAUGAACGCUGGCGGCGUGCCUAAUACAUGCAAGUCGAGCGAAGCGGGGACGGGUGAGUCACACGUGGAUGACUUUCUAUAUGACUGGGAUAACUUCGGGGAACGGGAGCUAAACCGGCUACUUCUCGAUCGAUCCUUGCUGCAUUAGCUAGUGGGUAAGGUAACUGCUUACCAAGACAACGAUGCAUAGCCGACCUGAGAUGUUUAGCGGCCACACUGGAACUGAGACACGGUCGAGACUCCUACGGGAGGCAGCAGUAGGGAAUCGUCCGCAAUGGGCGAAAGCCUGACGAAGCAACGCCGCGUGAGUGAUGAAGGUCUUCGGAGCUUAAAACUCUGUUAUUAGGGAGGCGGUACCUAAUCAGAAAGCCACGGCUAACUACGUGCCAGCAGCCGCGGUAAUUC
rnacentral:rRNA from 1 species